UUUCGGUCCCGAGCGCCUUUGUCCCGAGCGAAGCGGCCGCAGUUCCUCUGUCCUCUCCUUCUGCCGUACGAGAAGGCAAUAGCCCCGGCGCUAGGGUUCCUCCGCCGCCGCACUCCAUUCCUCUGGCCUCCUCUCCCGGCAGUAGUCGCCGACCUCCCCCCUUCCCUUGCAGCCGCCGCCGUCGUAGUACCACGCCGUUGAUAAAUAGACUUGACGAAGCCCCUGCCGCCGGCUCCAUGGAGCACACCGCCCACCGGUAGCUGCGAUGGAGCGCCGGUGGACGCCAUGAUUGUGCGCGCCGUCGCCGCCUUCGUCGUCCCUUCUCCUUCCUGUUUCUAAGCUCGCCCUGGAGACGCGCUUCCUCGAGCUGCCGUAGCAGCCGCAAAAGCACCUCCUCUGCCAUUGAUGGAACGACACGGUGGCGGGACGACCGCGGCAAGAUGUGCUGCACGCAGGAGUGAGAGGCGGGCCGUGGUGGCCGUGGCCAGCAGCAUGCUACCGGCGCCAACUACCUAUGUGCCAUUGACGGUGCUACACGGGGGGAUGAGCUUUCUGGUGCUGCUGCAUAUGCCGCUCCCUCCUGCUCCAUCGAGUAAACAUCCAUCUCUCCCCCCUAUCCAUCUCCUAUGAUAUAUUUCUGCAAUUCAUGCCCUGAUUUGUACUCAGUUGGUAUGGAAUGUCAUUGAUGUUGCCCAGAUCUACAACAUGACCCAAUUGGGAACUGUCAGUUCUGAACUGAAUAUUUGUUCAUAUUCAAGCAGGGAAAUUGGGGUAGUUUACAGUUUCAUGAUCUGUAUUGUCAGCUGUAAGGAUAACAAGAGUGUGCACCUUAUUUUCUCUAUGGAAUUUGGCGUCUCAUGUCAGAUGGAUGUGCUUAUACAAUGUAAAUAUCUGGACAUACGUACUUGUGGAAUAUUAUAACUCGGGGAUGAGAAGAUGGACCGGGCAAUAGCGGAAUUCUCGACAAGAUGAUUCAGUUCAGAUUUAGCAUGCCCAUUAGAUCCGGAAAAACAUGAGAUGUCUCCUGCAAAUUUGACUACGCGGCGUUGAUGUAGCAUGUCGGCUGGGUCGCCGGGACAAAGAGGAGGCUCGCGCACCGCGCCUUCGUCGACGCCAUCAAACACUUGAUCGGCUGGGGCGCUAGCCAGAUCAUGCCUUUUCUGAAAUGCAGGCAUAUUCUGGCAAAGAUGGCGUUUGUGAUCAAGCUGAGCACUUCGAUGCUUCUGAAAGUGCAGAAAUGGAGAUUUGCAUUUACUGUUUGCUAGAUUUGCAUUAGCCUUGGAGGGAAAGAAAAAGGAGGAGAAACAAUGAUUACAUGAUAAAGAGAACAGCUUGGUCGCAGUGAGCAUGAUGAGCUAAUUAAGGAAACUGAUUUACUCAAAUUAAGUUUGCUGAGAUAGAACAUGUAUGCAUAUUUAUGAGAUAUUUAAUUACGUGUGAUGCAUCUAAGCUGCAUAUUUCAGGUAGCCUUUCGUAAGUAGAGGAGCUUAAAUUCUUUGGAUCACUGACACUGACAUUUGUAUUUUAAUGAUGAUAGAUAGAUAUCUCACUACUGGGUUUGUAUAGUUGCAAUCCUCGAGCAUGAUAAUUGUGGUACAUUGUA